rnacentral:misc_RNA from 1 species
UGGUUCUGGCAUCGAUGAAGAACGCAGCGAAAUGCGAUAAGUAAUGUGAAUUGCAGAAUUCAGUGAAUCAUCGAAUCUUUGAACGCACAUUGCGCCCGCCAGUAUUCUGGCGGGCAUGCCUGUCCGAGCGUCAUUUCAACCCUCGAACCCCUCCGGGGGGUCGGCGUUGGGGACUUCGGGAACCCCUAAGACGGGAUCCCGGCCCCUAAAUACAGUGGCGGUCUCGCCGCAGCCUCUCCUGCGCAGUAGUUUGCACAACUCGCACCGGGAGCGCGGCGCGUCCACGUCCGUAAAACACCCAACUUCUGAAAUGUUGACCUCGGAUCAGGUAGGAAUACCCGCUGA